rnacentral:rRNA from 1 species
UACGUAGGCAGCGAGCGUUGUUCGGAGUACUGGGCUUAAAGGGUGCGUAGGCGGCGCGGUAAGUCGGGUGUGAAAUCUCGGAGCUUAACUCCGAAACUGCAUUCGAUACUGCCGUGCUUGAGGACUGGAGAGGAGACUGGAAUUUACGGUGUAGCGGUGAAAUGCGUAGAUAUCGUAAGGAAGACCAGUGGCGAAGGCGGGUCUCGUGGACAGUUCCUGACGCUGAGGCACGAAGGUCAGGGGAGCAAACGGG